rnacentral:rRNA from 1 species
UACGUAGGGUGCAAGCGUUGUCCGGAAUUAUUGGGCGUAAAGAGCUCGUAGGUGGUUUGUUACGUCUGCUGUGAAAACCUAGGGCUUAACCCUGGGCUUGCAGUGGAUACGGGCAGACUAGAGGUAGGUAGGGGAGAAUGGAAUUCCAGGUGUAGCGGUGAAAUGCGUAGAUAUCAGGAGGAACACCGGUGGCGAAGGCGGUUCUCUGGGCCUUACCUGACGCUGAGGAGCGAAAGCGUGGGGAGCGAACAGG